GGGAUAUUAAGUUAAGCAGACUAUAAUAUUUCAAGUAUUAAAGUGAGACGCAGUUUCAUAUCCUG
rnacentral:tRNA from 1 species